AGCCAGCGAUGUGAGAUUCCCCCCUCCUUGAUUUCAGGUUCUCUGGUCCAUUCAAUCCCUGGCCUGGAAGUAAGGGGAAUUCCCACCCUGCUCUGAACAGAAUAGACACACAUCCACCAGGAUGUUUGGUUGGACUCGACACCCACGCUUGGCGCACGCGUUUUGAGAGCGUGCAUCUUGUCUAGUGACCGCCGUGACCUGCUAGCCCAGGGGCGCAGUGCUGGAUAGUGUCGAACGCCGGCUUCGCCAGAGCCACGCUCCAACCGGUGCAGCCCUUCUCCAGCCAGCUGGCCAUGCACAGGCGGCAGGAUGGGAAACCAAGGCGAGACGAGAAGAGAGAGCACCAGCCAGAGAGCACUAGAGAGAUUUGACUGAACACCAGGCCCCCCCGGUGCAGCUCCGGUGCUCAGAGUUCCAUGGGAAUUGCCAUCGUGGAUCAGAGCAGGGGUCCCUCUAGUCCAGUGUCCUGUCCCCAGUAGUGCUAUGGAACCAGAGGAAGUGUGUGAGCACCCCAACGGAGUGGGAGAACAUCUGUCUGCCUUACCCCUGCCAGCCAGGGCUUGUUUUGUGCCCUGAAGCAUGAGAAUCAACUUGACUGAAGUCUGCUAAUGGAAGAAUGAAACACACACAUGAAUGCUGCCAGGGCCCGUUUGUCUGUGUGUCAUCUUAGGAUCUAGGUGUUUGCAGCCUUACAUUUAAAGCAGUGCACUCUUGAAAGUUGUAUUAGAUAGCAGGGGUGCGGUCUGUUGGGGAGGGAUGCAUAGGAAGAACUGGAGAGAGGAGUGGCCCCAGGACAAACCAGCCGUGGGUGCUACGCUUCAGGACUGCUCUAUGUUAUCGAGCGGGAGGCCCAGGACUGGAACAACAGUGGGGCUGCGUGUCAAGGUUGAGGUAUUUGGUAGAACUUCAUAAGGACUAGUGGGAGGGCCUGCAGGCCAAAGCUGAAAUGCUGUGCUGAGCUGUGCCAAGCAUGGGCUAAGCAGGUCAGUGUUGGCAGAGCUGCAUGUAAAACUCUUGCUCAGCACUUGCCUUACGCCUGUGUUAGUUGCCUGUCACGUUUACAAGCCCUCCAUGUAGGUUCCCCUCCCCCAGAAUGAAAGCCCUGCACUUUCAAAGUUAGAAUCAAAGUUGAGCAUUUUCUUCACUGACGCAGCCCCAUGCCUUCCGGACACAGUGGGGAUUGCCAGGGAGUGACUUGUGCCGUUUCCAGGGUGGAGCCAGUCGGCUGUCACUCACGAUUGCCAGGGCGUGCAGGAGUUUAUAUAGAAGCAAGAGUCAUGAAUAGUUUUGAGCUGAGCUUUUCCAAGGGAAGGUUUUUCUUAUUAAUAAUUUGUCCGGCUGACAGAGCCUCUGACACCCGCCACCCUGCCCAGCUCCCACAGAUCUGAGUCUUAAAAAAGCUUGUAAAAUCCAGGAGGAGGAGGAGAACAGCCCUAGGCUUCCAGUGCUGUACAAGAAAUUACUUUCCACUGUUUAAAUAGACAGAUUUUUUGAGUUGACCUUAUCCUUUAAAACAAAACAAAAAUCAUCCAAGGAGCUCAAAGAACUUUAGAGACCUUAAUUAAGUCUCACAUCACCCUAAGCAGUAAGUAAAGGCACCAGAGAGGGAUCAUGUCACCCAUUACUGGAAUGCAGCCACCUCUGAGGUGGUACAUAGCAGCUGUUUAAUACCACAAAGCAACAUUAUGCAGGCGUUCAGGACAAGAAGUCAAAAAUACCAUAUCCAAGUCAAAUAGCAGGGCUAAAUUUAAGGU